rnacentral:rRNA from 1 species
UACGGAGGGGGCGAGCGGUGUUCGGAAUUACUGGGCGUAAAGCGCGCGUAGGCGGACCUGCAAGUCGGGGGUGAAAGCACGAGGCUCAACCUCGGAACUGCCUUCGAUACUGCGGGUCUCGAGUCCGGGAGAGGUGAGUGGAAUUCCUAGUGUAGAGGUGAAAUUCGUAGAUAUUAGGAAGAACACCAGUGGCGAAGGCGGCUCACUGGCCCGGUACUGACGCUGAGGCGCGAAAGCGUGGGGAGCAAACAGG